GGUCAAGCUACUAAGAGCAUGCGGUGGAUGCCUUGGCGCCAAGAGCCGACGAAGGACGUGGCAGGCAGCGAAAUGCUUCGGGGAGUUGCGAGCAAGCGUUGAUCCGGAGAUAUCCGAAUGGGGAAACCCCCCAGGGGUAAUGCCCUGGGACGCACGGUUGAAUUCAUAGACCGUGACGAGGACACCGAGGGAACUGAAACAUCUAAGUACCUCGAGGAGCAGAGAACAUUCCGUGAGUAGUGGCGAGCGAAAGCGGAGGAGCCCAAACCGUGGCGGCGUGACAGGCUGCAGCCGUUGCCGUCGCGGUGUUGUAGGGCCGGCUUGCGGAGCGCUGCAGUGCCCGCAGAGAGUUACAAAUCGGUUCGCUAGCAGAAGCGGCCUGGAAAGGCCAGCCAUAGAGGGUGACAGCCCCGUACGCGAAAGCGAUCCGACUCUCGGCCGUGUCCCUGAGUACCGCGUGGAAGGUCUCUCAUGCGGGAACCCGGGCGGACCACCGUCCAAGGCUAAAUACUCUUGGCGACCGAUAGUGAACUAGUACCGUGAGGGAAAGGUGAAAAGCACCCCGGGAGGGGAGUGAAACAGUACCUGAAACCGCGUGCUUACAAGCAGUCAGAGGGUGUUGCCCGGAUCCUUCGGGAGCCGGGUAGCCUGAUGGCGUGCCUUUUGAAGAAUGAGCCGGCGAGUUACUCGCAGGUGGCGAGGUUAAGUCCGAGAAGGACGCAGCCGCAGCGAAAGCGAGUCUGAACAGGGCGUCAGAGUCGCCGCGAGUAGACCCGAAACCGAGUGACCUACCCAUGGGCAGGUUGAAGCGGGAGUAAUGUCCCGUGAAGGACCGAACCCACUAGCGUUGAAAAGCUAGGGGAUGACCUGUGGGUAGAGGUGAAAUGCCAAUCGAACUCGGAGAUAGCUGGUUCUCCCCGAAAUAGCUUUAGGGCUAGCCUCGGGGGUUCAGUCGUGAGGGUAGAGCACUGAAUGGGCUAGGGGGCUUCCCGCUUACCAACCCCAAUCAAACUCCGAAUCUCACGAUUCCAUACCCCGGGAGUCAGACUGCGAGGGCUAAGCUUCGUGGUCAAAAGGAAAACAGUCCGGACCGACAGCUAAGGUCCCAAAAUCCAGACUAAGUGGGGAAGGAUGUGGAGUUGCACAGACAACCAGGAUGUUGGCUCAGAAGCAGCCACCAUUUAAAGAGUGCGUAAUAGCUCACUGGUCAAGUGAUUCCGCGCCGAAGAUCCAACGGGGCUCAAGUCUGGUACCGAAGCUUCGGAUUGUCCUGGGCCUUCGGGCCCGGGUGCAGUGGUAGGGGAGCGUUCCGUCAGCAGUGAAGGUCGACCGUGAGGACGGCUGGAGCGGACGGAAGUGCGAAUGCCGGCAUGAGUAGCGAAAUGCGCGUGAGAAACGCGCACGCCGUAUGUCUAAGGUUUCCUGAGGAAGGUUAAUCCGCUCAGGGUUAGUCGGGCCUAAGCCGAGGGCGAAAGCCGUAGGCGAUGGACAAUCGGUUGAUAUUCCGAUACCGCCAGAGAUCGUUUGCACCGCAAGGUGCCUUGGUAGUGGAGGCUGGUGCGCUGAGGACGACUUCGGUCGUUCGAGGCAGCCAGUUUGAAGCGAUCAUGGGAGCGAGGGCGUGACCGGGAACGGUAGGUCGAGCGCACUUUGGCUAUGUGCGUCUAAGCCGGUAGGGGGAGAGGAUAGGCAAAUCCGUCCUCUCAUAACUCCGAGAAGCGAAUGAAAGGCGAAAGCUGAUUCGACUGAGCCGAUCCUGCAAGAAAAGCGUCUAGCGAGAUCAAAGGCGACCGUACCGCAAACCGACGCAGGUAGACGGGUAGAGCAUACCAAGGCGAUCGGAAGAACCCUCGUUAAGGAACUCGGCAAAUUGACCCCGUAACUUCGGGAGAAGGGGUGCCUCGCAGUGGCUCACUUGUGAGAGGCUGAUCGAGGCCGCAGUGAAAUGGCCCAGGCGACUGUUUAGCAAAAACACAGGUCUCUGCUAAAGCGAAAGCUGACGUAUAGGGGCUGACGCCUGCCCAGUGCCGGAAGGUUAAGAGGAGGGGUGCAAGCUCUGAAUC
rnacentral:rRNA from 1 species